ACCGCGGUAGCCCAGUCUGUAGAGGCGUCGGCAGUACUGAUGCCAAAAGACGGAGGUUCAAAUCCCGCCCGCGGUG